GAUGAAGAACGUAGCGAAAUGCGAUACGUAAUGUGAAUUGCAAAUUCAGUGAAUCAUCGAGUCUUUGAACGAACAUUGCGCCCCCUGGUAUUCCGGGGGGCAUGCCUGUCCGAGCGUCAUUGCUGCCCUCAAGCACGGCUUGUGUGUUGGGCCCCGUCCUCCGAUUCCGGGGGACGGGCCCGAAAGGCAGCGGCGGCACCGCGUCCGGUCCUCGAGCGUAUGGGGCUUUGUCACCCGCUCUGUAGGCCCGGCCGGCGCUUGCCGAUCAACCCAAAUUUUUAUCCAGGUUGACCUCGGAUCAGGUAGGGAUACCCGCUGAACUUAAGCAUAUCAAUAAGCGGAGGA
rnacentral:misc_RNA from 1 species